rnacentral:rRNA from 2 species
GAGUUUGAUCGUGGCUCAGAGCGAACGCUGGCGGCAGGCCUAACACAUGCAAGUCGAACGGAUCCUUCGGGAUUAGUGGCGGACGGGUGAGUAACACGUGGGAACGUGCCCUUUGGUUCGGAAUAACUCAGGGAAACCUGAGCUAAUACCGAAUGUGCCCUUCGGGGAAAGAUUUAUCGCCAUUGGAGCGGCCCGCGUCUGAUUAGCUAGUUGGUGAGGUAAAGGCUCACCAAGGCGACGAUCAGUAGCUGGUCUGAGAGGAUGAUCAGCCACACUGGGACUGAGACACGGCCCAGACUCCUACGGGAGGCAGCAGUGGGGAAUCUUGCGCAAUGGGCGAAAGCCUGACGCAGCCAUGCCGCGUGAAUGAUGAAGGUCUUAGGAUUGUAAAAUUCUUUCACCGGGGACGAUAAUGACGGUACCCGGAGAAGAAGCCCCGGCUAACUUCGUGACAGCAGCCGCCGUAAG